rnacentral:lncRNA from 1 species
CACAACCUCAUUUUUGUAUUCCUAUUCCUGUUUCUGGAUUUCUCUUUCCCAAUAAUUGCUAAAAUGAGAAGUGGUUUAAGUAAUUUAAGCCUUUGGUUGUUAAACUUAAAAUAUAAUACUGAGCAAACAGUAUUUAUUCUGAUCUAAAGAAGAUUUUAUUAUAUUUUAGCAAUGGGAAAGAAAAUUAACAUUGUGGAAAGUCCUCACCUAGCAGAAUUGUUUAAAACAUCUUUCUUAAUCUUUUUUAGUCCUCACAACAGCUAUAGGGUAGGAUUAUUAAAGGAGGAAAUAAGACUCAAUGGUUUAGUACCUUGUCCCAAAUCACACAUCUGAGGGUGUAGAGCUGGAAUACAAACCCAACUUGGAGCACAAAGAUUACUUAGAGGGACGUUUCACAUUAAUACAAGGGUCAGUUCAUCAGAAAAAUGUAACCAUUAUAAACACAAAAGCCAGGAGACAACAGAUCACCAAAACACAUCAAGCCAAACCAACAAAACUGAAAGGAGAAACAGGCAAGAGUGGAACUACAAAACUUCACUUCAAAGAAUGGAUAGAACAGCGGGGUAGAAGACUAACAAGGACACAGUAAGCUUGAAGACCUGCUACGAACUACCACAUGUGUGAGGAACACUUCAGCCAUCAGCAGAAUACACAGCUUCUCAAGUGCUCACAGAACACACUCUAUUCUAAGCUGUAACCUAAACCUCAAUAAACAUAGGAGAAUAGAAAUAAUACAAAGCAGGUUCUAUAAUAAAAAUGGAUUGAAAUUAGAAAUCAACACCAGAAAGAAUUUGAGGAAACCCACAAAUAUGUUGGAAUUAAGCAACACACUCCUAAACAUUCAAAGGGUCAAAGAAGAAAUCAAGGAGCUGGGAUUGUUGUUCAGCGGUACAGUGCUCAC